UCCUCUCCUGCUCUGGCUUCCUGCCGCUCAACAGUCCUGUGGUUGUUUGGCUGACGAUUUUUUUUUCCUCUCUCUCUACAUCAAUUCUGUGCUGCGUGCUACAGUAGUCAAGAUCUGGCGGGUUAGAUGGAUGUGUGCUCCACUUCUCACAUUAGAUAUUUUUAUCGCUCAUGGAAGUGUGAUAGUGCAUCUGAACCCCCCCCACACGCACCUUCUUCUUCUUCUUCUUCUAAUUCUCCCCCCCCCCCACCCCUGGAGAUUGGACCUAGGGUCUCACACACACUGGUCAACCGCUUUCCUACUGAACUGCAUCUUCCGCCAUCCCGUCUGACUUUCUGGCUGACAAAGAUCUAUUUUUAUUUUUGUCCUUACUGGGAUCCAGUAAGCAGCCUGCUUUGAAGUAAUCCACGACACUUGGCUCCUCCUGUGGUGUUUUCUCUGCUCACGAUACACUGGCCAGCCAUACCCCAUGAUUACAAACGCCACUGCAGACUUUUGUUACUCAGUCUCGGCUUCUUACUUCCCUGGGUGAGGGCACCGCUGCUCGAUUUCCCACGUAUGUUCGCUGAUGCGGAGAUACUCUGCUUGACUUGGAUUGUGGGAACACAUGGAGGGAACAAGAUGGCCCAAGCCGAGGGGUUGAUCUGCCACUGAGACUGCAGCUCCUCCCAGAUCCUCCAUACUUCUCCAGUUCCACAUGUUUUCCUGUCUCUUCAGAAAACCAACAGGUAAGUAAAUAAAAAGCAAAGUAGAAUAACAAACAGACAAAAAGCAUAAGAAACUCAUACACACAGAGACACCCACACACUAAAAAACAAAAGCUAAAAACAGGAAACCAGGAACCAUAAUGUACAAGCAAAAUACCGGUAAGGUUAAAAAAAAAAAAGCCAUCCUAGAGCCUUCAUCCAGUAGCUGAUGGAAGCAGAAGCUAAACACUGAGCUGAACUCCUGGAAUCCAGUUGCAGAGAGGGAGGAGAGACCAGCAAAGAGGUAAAGACCAUGCUAGAAAAACCCGCAGAAACAGCUGACCUGACCAAGUGGGAGCACACAGACCCCAGUCGUAAAAUUAGGGAACCAGCAUUGAUCUAAACCAAGCCCUCUGAAUGUGGGUGUCAGUUAGGAGGCCUGGGCAGUGUAUGGGACCUCUGAAAGUGGAACCCGUGUUUAUCCCUAGUGCACAAAUGGACUUUGGGAGCCCAUUCUCCAUGGAGAGAUACUCUCUCAGCCCAGAUACGUGGGGGAAGGCCCAGGUCCCCAUAUAAUAUGACAGACUUUGGAGAUCCCCCAUUAUAACGA